UUCGAGGCGAAUUGCAAAUUUAGUUGGCACCAUUACAGAACGAAAGAAAUGCUAGAUAUGCACAGCGUCAGAAUGUGUGAAUAAACGACAAGAUCACUGUGCUACUGAAUAUACAUAACAGCAGAUGGAGAAUGGCAUUGGCAAAAAAAAACGUCAAUAAAAGUCAGAAGUUAGUUGGAUAAAAAGAUUGUGUUCCUGUUGACACCGGCUGCGCGAAUCACCACACUUGGGAGUUCAUUAUUCUGGAGGAGAAGCAGAUUGCAGUCGACUUCAAAAUGUUCUGUACACUCCGGAAUGACUGAUGUGGAACAAACGGAACGGUUGUUGACACUACGGGUGCGCAUUAAAAGGAGCGGACUGCUACCACCUAAUGCGCCAUUACUUCCCCUGG